UCCGGCUUAACGCCGGCGGUCUCUCUAGAGUGCCCAACUGAAUGAUGGCAACUAAAGAUAAGGGUUGCGCUCGUUAAGGGACUUAACCCGACAUCUCACGAUACGAGCUGACGACAGCCAUGCAGCACCUGAACCGCAUGUCCCCGAAGGGAAAAGGAUAUCUCUACCCCUGUCAUGCGUUGUCUAACCCAGGUAAGGUUCUUCGCGUUGCAUCGAAUUAAACCACAUGCUCCACCGCUUGUGCGGGCCCCCGUCAAUUCCUUUGAGUUUUAACCUUGCGGCCGUACUUCCCAGGCGGGGUACUUAAUGCGUUAGCGUCGGCACUGCAGGGGUCAAUUCCCGCAACACCUAGUACCCAUCGUUUACAGCGUGGACUAC
rnacentral:misc_RNA from 1 species